rnacentral:misc_RNA from 1 species
CAGAGUUCAUGCCCUCACGGGUAGAUCUCCCACCCUUGAAUAUUAUACCUUAGUUGCUUUGGCAGGCCGGGGCAACCCCCGGGGCUUCGGCCAUGGUGUGCCUGCCAGAGGAAACAAACUCUGUUUUUAGUGAUGUCUGAGUACUAUAUAAUAGUUAAAACUUUCGACAACGGA